rnacentral:rRNA from 1 species
UACGUAGGGGGCAAGCGUUGUCCGGAAUCAUUGGGCGUAAAGCGCACGCAGGCGGUCUUGUAAGUUUCGAGUGACAGGUGGUGGCUUAACUGCCACAGGCCGUGGAAAACUGCAAGACUUGAGGACUUCAGAGGGAUGCGGAAUUCCAGGUGGAGCGGUGAAAUGCGUAGAGAUCUGGAAGAACACCAAUGGCGAAGGCAGCAUCCUGGGAAGUAACUGACGCUCAGGUGCGAAAGCCAGGGGAGCGAACGGG